rnacentral:rRNA from 1 species
UACAGAGGGUGCGAACGUUGCUCGGAAUUACUGGGCGUAAAGCGCGUGUAGGCGGAUCGGCAAGUCAGGCGUGAAAUCCCCAGGCUCAACCUGGGAACUGCGCUUGAAACUGCCGGUCUUGAGUGUCGGAGAGGGUGGCGGAAUUCCUGGUGUAGAGGUGAAAUUCGUAGAUAUCAGGAGGAACACCGGUGGCGAAGGCGGCCACCUGGACGACAACUGACGCUGAGACGCGAAAGCGUGGGGAGCAAACAGG